CUACGGGAGGCUCCAGUCAAGAAUCUUCCUCAAUGGGCGAAAGCCUGAAGGAGCGACACCGCGUGCAUGAAGAAGCCUUUCGGGGUGUAAAGUGCUUUUAUAUGUGACGAAACAAUGACGGUAGCAUAUGAAUAAGGGGCUGCUAACCUCGUGCCAGCAGCAGCGGUAAUACGAGGGCCCCAAGCGUUAUCCGGAUUUAUUGGGCGUAAAGCGUCCGUAGGUGGUUUAUCGCAUCUCCUGUUAAAUCUCGAGGCUCAACCUCGAGCCAGCGGGAGAGAUGGACAAACUAGAGAUCGGAAGAGGCAAACGGAAUUGCUGGUGUAGGGGUUAAAUCCAUUAAUAUCAGCAAGAACACCAAAUGCGAAGGCAGUUUGCUAGGACGAAUCUGACACUCAGUGGACGAAAGCGUGGGGAGCGAAUGGGAUUAGAUACCCCGGUAGUC
rnacentral:rRNA from 1 species